rnacentral:rRNA from 1 species
AAGUUUUGGUCCUAAACUUGCCAUUGUUUUUAAUCAAAAUUAUACAUGCAAGCCUCUACACACCAGUGAGAAUGCCCACAUACCCCCCAAAAGCUAACCGGAGCAGGCAUCAGGAUCAAACACUCUUGGCCUAAAACGCCUUGCUCAUGCCACACCCACAAGGGUUUUCAGCAGUAAUUAAUAUUAAAAAAUAAGCGAAAGCUUGACUUAGUUAUGAUUAAUAUGGCCGGUAAAUUUCGUGCCAGCCACCGCGGUUAUACGAACGACCAAAAACAAUGACCGUCGGCGUAAAGCGUGAUCAUGGGUUCCACUCUUAAUUUUAAGGGGGCACAUCUGCCAAGUCGUAGAACACUGCUGCACAUCAGAACAACCAAAAUACCCUUAAAACCAAAGUUACCCCUCACUUCACGAAAGCUAAGAAACAAACUGGGAUUAGAUACCCCACUAUGCUUAGCCUUAAACACAGAUAGUAAAAUACAACACUAUCCGCCAGAGAAUUACGAGCGAAAAGCUUAAAACUCCAAGGACUUGGCGGUGCUUCAAACCAACCUAGAGGAGCCUGUCCUAUAAUCGAUACUCCACGUUUUACCUCACCACUCCUUGCCAACCAGCCUAUAUACCGCCGUCGUCAGCCUACCUUGUGAAAGCAACAAAGUGAGCAAAAUAGUUAACAACUAACACGUCAGGUCAAGGUGUAGCACACGGGGUGGAAGAGAUGGGCUACAUUUUUACAAAGGAAACACACGAACAGAGCGUUGAAAUACGCACUUAAAGGUGGAUUUAGUAGUAAAACGAACAAGAAAAGUUGUUUUAAACCUGCUCUGAAGCGCGCACACACCGCCCGUCACCCUCAUCA